AGUUUCCUACUAUUUCACCGUGCCAUCGAGCACACCACAAGCAAACCCCCCAAAACCCACCACACCAGGAACCGUCGCGUCUCCCGGACUCCCUCUCCGUCCCCGGCCGCCGGCGCCGCCUCGAAUGCCGGAGCCGCAGGCCAUCCUCCCGCUCCGCGCGCUCCCGCCGGACGCGCCGCUGCCCCUCCCCGUCCCCGCGCCGUUCCACCCCCAAACCCCUGCCCCCGCGUCGGCCGCCCCGGCCACGCCCCCGAACCCGACCCCUCCCCAACCCCAAACCCCCGCCGCGCCGCCUUCUUCCUCCUCGACGCGGCCGCCGCACCCAUGGGAGAUCUCCGCGUGCGCCUGGCUCGAGUCCUUCCCCGACGGCCGCCCGCCCACCGAGCCCGAGGUCGACGCCUACAUCGACGCCCACCGCCCCGAGCUCCCCUCUCUGCCCCGCUCUCAGCUACACCAGCGCCUCCUCGCCCUCCGCGGCGACCAGGUUUUAGAUGCGGACCAGAGCGCAUUCCCCUACAGGUUCCAGCGAACUGAUCUAUGGAAGCCUGUGUACCAGUGGUUGGAAUCUCUUGAUAUGGACUCACUAGUUGCCACACAGCAAAUAUCAGACUGGCUUGCAUCGAACCCUAAGAUAAUGGACAAGCUGGUUGAGAAACAUUCAAAAUAUCAUUUGAUUCACUAUACCCAGAGGAUGCACUUGAAGAUGCUAAAAAAGAAGGGGAAGCUGCCAAAGACUCUACAGCUUUCUGCGGCUAGAGCCACAGUUCAACCGAGUGCUGCUCCAGUGGCUCCAGAAGAAAACAUAGCACCAUUGCGGAAAACUAUACCUCCAGUAACAGGUAGGUUCCCCAGUGGCAGUGCAGGCAAACAACAGAGUGCAGCAGGCAGAUUUCAAGGUGGAAAUGCAACUCCUAGGGACAAGAAGACGUCAUUGUCCAAAAAGAAGGAAGCUUUGCUCAAAUAUGAACUUUUGACAGAUUUGCAGAACCAAUUGACUGCUGUGCUGUUAAAUCAAUGUCGCACCGUUGCCACUAAAGAAGCAGAUUCAUCGUAUGUGGAACCUCAAAAUCCAGAUACUAACAUGAAUAUACGAGAAGGUAAUACUGCUGCAAGCGCAUCAGCCCCUUCAGAGGCAACUAAGGUUUUCGUCAGUGAAAAGUCAAUCCCAGCUGCAGCCACAGAAAGUGAACUUGGGCAAAACAGGAAAAGAAACCCUAUCAUUGUUACACCUGCAUGGUGUUAUAGUGAAGCGUCGACAGGAACUGCGCGGAAUGAACAAAAUUCUAAUUCAAGUAGUGAUGCUACAAGAAAUUUCAACAUUUGGAAAGGACAUGCUAAUCCACUGUUCCGACCUAGAGAUAUUAAGAAAAAUAUAUCGUUCUGUCUCGACGGACGUGAAACUGGUGCCAGUUGGUCUCAAGCUUCUUCUUAUGGAGGUUAUGCUGGACGAAAUUCUGAAAGAUGGACUCCAUUUCUUGAAGGAUGGAAUUCACCUGCAGUCCAGUUUGAAGGGCCUGCAGUACCUCUUGUGAGAAAAGGCUACCUGUCUUGGUGUCCAACUUCGUGUGCUUAUACGUCAAGUGCUCCUUCUGCACAGCCUCAUGAUAGGCAAGGUGUCCGCAAAGUUCUUGAUGUAAAAUUUCAUCCAGAAGGGUUGCCUCAGCUUGUUUCUAGCUCUAAUGAGGCACCCAACGAGUUAUUGCUUUUCAAUCUUCUUUCCGGAAGGGCAAUUCAGCUUAGAGGCCACAAUACCAAGGUUCAGUCUGUCGCAUUUGCAGUCAAAGGAGCAAGUAUCGUAUCUUGUGCUUCUAAUUUAUUGAAGGUAUGGGACUGCAUCACAGGGUCUUGCCUCUAUACGCUGGGUGGUGAUGACCGAAAUUCGGUGGGGCAUACUCAAAAAAUUAAUGCUAUGGCAGUGAAUAAAUGGCAAUCCUGUCUUGUUGUCACUAGCGGGGCAAAAGGUGAUGGGAAGCUUCUACUAUGGAAUGCUUUAAGAGGUGAACUUGCUUCUGAUCUGAAUUCGAACUUGAGGUCCCAGGAUAUGGUCUAUCCUUCAGUUGAUACAAUGGAGUUCUAUAGUGAAAAUCAUCUGGCAUGCGGAAGUGACUGUGAUUAUGGUGGCUCAGCUGUGGUACAAUUAUGGGAUAUUGAUUCUCCAGAGUCAUACUUAUCUUUCUCUGCAAGUGAUUCUUAUAUUACUUCCCUUAAAGCCAACCCUGCUGGGAACACUAUCAUUACAGGUUCUGGUGAUGGGACUAUCGGCUUAUUUGACGUCCGUACUUGUUCUGCAAUUAACCAUUUGUCAGUGGGAACUGGUUGUGAGGUUACAUCUGUUUCAUUUAGCAACUGCGGCACCUAUUUUUCUGCUUCUAGCACAUCAAAUAAUACUUUGGUUUGGGAUACAAGACUAGUCCCAAUUAAUCAAAGCAAGGACGUUUCGCAAAGCAGAGACAUGCGGUUUUUUCGGCCUUUACAUUGCUUGAGCCAUGGAAAUCAGAUGCCUACUGCAGAAUAUACUAGUCAACUGCCAGGUCAUGUUGACGAGGGUGAUCAGGGGGUAAAUGCCACACAGUGGCUGCACGGUGAACCUGUACUUGUUACUGUAAGUGGAGAUGGCAGUGUUGGAAUGUGGGAUGUUACUCUAGGUCAACCUUGCGUCAGACAUAUUGUCACUCAUACUCGAUGUGCUAAUGCGGUUGCUGUUGCCCCUAAUGACGAAUACAUCUCCACAGGAGGAAGUGAUCAGAAAGUUGUUUUAUACCAUAAUAUAAGUGGGCGUACACAUCUUAAUUGGCGUCUCUCACAUCCUCUGCAAGGAAAUGAUUGAUAUGCUGCCAGAAAUCAUAGAAUUGAUCCACCAAUGUGCUGGAGAGUUCUCUGAGUCAGGUAGUAGUAGAACUUUGGCAGAAACUUGGCUGCUCCGUAUGGAUGUGGAGCCAGGACUAUUGAAGGCUCUGCUUGAUGGACGACUGAAGCUUGUGUUGGGCCUUAACAUUAAUGCCUUGCCCUGGUAUUGGUUGGUUUUCCAUAGUUGAGUGCACAGUCUUAUCCAUCUUCACUCGCGGUGGGCACCUAUAUCCCUCAUGCAUUAUCAUCCGAUAAUUUCUAAUUUUCUUUUACAUCGUUGCAGAUUGUAAUGCUAAGGAAUAUGUUUCCCCAAGUUAACUGCCUUUUGCUUGUUUUAAUGUUUUCUAUGUACAGGCAUGGCAUAUGUAGCCUUGCCUUGCCUGUUUGGAUAUGAUGGAUUUCCUUUCAUGCCUUGCCGUCUGCACAAUAUACUUCGCACCAGCCUACACGUGCUUGCUUCAGUCAUUUUUGGUUUCAAGACUAACUGGCUUAUUCUUUAUUGCACUGAGUUCCCCCAAAUGGUGGUCUUGGAAGAAUGCUCCCUUCACAGAUGCUGUGACAUAAUCCAAACUAUAAAAAUUGAGCAUAAAGUCCCCCUUCUUCAGUUUCAUCUCUGGGGUUUACCUGUUGAAUUGUCUCAAGUGUGAGGCUUCCAGGACCUAACAUACCAUUUACUGAAGUUAUUGCAAGUAUCUUCAUUUGCCCAUAUGGUUGGCGUUCCUCCAUGGUAGUAUCCAGUGUAUCCCAUAAGUUUGUUAAUGCUUUUACGAGGUUUUGGAGCUACAAAAUAAUACCUGCAUUAGUAGGCAAUAAUGUAUGUAGUUCCCAAGUUUCUUUAUUAUUCUUUCUUUAAUUUUCACUAUAUAUUUCCUAUUGGAAUAGCAGAAGCAAUAACUUGUUACUCCUAAAAUUAUUAAUAAGUUCGAAGGUGAUAUUUUGUAAGAGGACUAAUGAAGUGUCUGGCAAAUGCAUUAUGCCAGUUUGCUUUCUGCUAUUCUUGAUCUAAUUACGCUAAUUCUUUUCAAUACGUAUCACUCCGUGAGAGCUUGAAUGUAUUAACCUAACCAAGUGAAGCGUGGCUACAGUGGUGGGUACCAGACAUAUGACAAAUCACCUUCUCCCUUCUAUUGUUCUUCUCUUCUUUAAGCUGCUGAACAGUCAUGUUGAGCUUUUUGAGGAUUUCAUCACUGAUAUUCUUUGUCUGUUGCUCGUUUGGUCCAUCUAACAAUCUUGGGUGAACAUUAGCGAGUAGCUUUGAAGGAUCCAUUCCCAUGACUUUUCCAAAAUUCUGAAUUAGAACUUUGUAUUCUUCAACUUUGCAGAGGCGAUCACUCUGGAGAAAACAAAAUUCCAAAAUCAGAUCCAGGCCUGUUAUUUAUUAUAUUGCAGGUUUCUCAUCAAGUCAAGGAGACGUGUACCUUCUCUCUUUUCAUUAUUUGCAAUUCGCUUUGGAAUUCCUCGAGUUUCUUCAGUGACAGAUCUUCGUCAUUUACAGUGACAGUUUCGGUCCCCAAUCGUCCAGCAAUUUCAGAAGCAAUUCUUUGUAUUUCAGUUUGAACCUCCAUGAACUGUUUUACUCUGGCUUCUUUUCUCAUCUGCAUUUCUUGUAGGGCGGGUGUAAUGGAAUUCAGCUGCUCCUUUAGAGUGCCUGCCAUUUUUUCAGGCUGCAUAAAAGGAAUACAUGUUAGCUUCCAA